UUCACGUCAUAGCCAAAUCCUCAUAGCAGUUGUGCUGUACAGAGAAGCUGCUUUCCAGAGCCAGAGGGGCACAGUCUGAGCAGUUUGUGGAGAAGGGGACCAAGGCCUCUCAGCCUAUGCUGGGCUCUAGGACCAGAAAAGCACAAACUCUCUGACUCCAGGAGCUGGAAUUUUAAGAAAAGCUGCCAGCAGUUGCACAGAUACUGAGGAAAAUGGUGGCACGUAAUGACCAGGGCCACUGUGACUGAAUAUGAGAGGAGAGCCUGCAGCAAGGCACCACAGCAAGAACGAGGCUCCCCCAAACGAGGUAGGCUACCCAGCUGCAGCACCUUGCCUGCCCUCAGAACUACCAUUUUGGUGGGUGGUGGAUGGUUUUAGUUGUGGCCUCUGCGCUGCCCUGCCAUAAAAGAGUGGGAAUGGAGGCCCUAGGGUUUGGCUGCUGGAAGAGUGGAUUGCUGUGGUGCUCCCUCAUCAGUGCAGGCAGCUGUAGUGUUUCAGCAUGGCCUCAUCACAGUUGAAAGCCUUGUCCUUGCGUCAGGCUCCAUCUUGAAGAUCUACGAGUGUUCUGGUGGAGAUGCUUCUGCAAAGCCUGGCCCCAUCCUGAAUCUGAGGAUAUCAGACAAAAAAGGUUUCGGAAGUUGGGUAAACAGAGCCUGAGCCUGCACGAAGGGGAUUAAGAAGGAGAGGCAAGAGUGGAAGGGAAAAUGAGGAUAUGACAGAGGCCAUAGUGAGUUCAAACAAAAUUUAGCCUGCAGAAGGCAGAAGAAAUCCCACUGGUGACAGGUGCCAUCUUGUGGGUCAUUCUGCCACUCUGCCUCCUGCCACUUUUUAUAACAAGAAGAGAUAAAGGAGGACUGGAUUCUUAGAGGCUUCGAAUCGGAAAAGUAAUUCAAAGAGAUGUGAACAUGGUUGGCUUCAGGGUUUGCAUGAUACUGUAAACAUCAAUACUUUGCUUGUCAGCACUCUAUGCUAUUUAAGAAUGCUAAAGUCCACUAUAAAUAGAGCCUAUGUGCGUGUCUAGAAACAUGUAAUCAUAAAUAGUACAAAUGAUAAUCAAAUUAUUUUUACUUUAUAGUAAUGCAAAUAAAAUAUUCAUGCAUCAUGUAGGCCUAGGAAAGGUUACAGCCUGCAAACUGUGCUAAUUAAAAUAUAAUAGCACUGAGGAGUAUAUGUAAGAGUUACUAAUGUCCGUAUUUUCCCUCUUUCCUUUAAGAUCUUAUCUUUAAUGAAUACAUAAAAAUGCAGUGGUUAGCUGGUACUUUAGCUCUGUGUUUUUUUUUUCAGGAAAUUUAUUUUGAAGGACUGUGCAAAAAUAAUCACAGCAUCUACAGAGCCAAAAUCAAAUAUACUAUGAUAACGUAUAGAUAAUUUUUUAAAGGAAA